GUACACACCGCCCGUCACGUCAUAGAAAGUCGGUAACGGCCCACCAAGGCGACGACGGGUAGCCGGCCUGAGAGGGCGACCGGCCACACUGGGACUGAGACACGGCCCAGACUCCUACGGGAGGCAGCAGUGGGGAAUAUUGCACAAUGGGGCGCAAGCCUGAUGCAGCGACGCCGCGUGAGGGAUUAAGGCCUUUGGGUUGUAAACCUCUUUCAGCAGGGAAGAAGCGCAAGUGACGGUACCUGCAGAAGAAGCACCGGCUAACUACGUGCCAGCAGCCGCGGUAAUACGUAGGGUGCAAGCGUUGUCCGGAAUUAUUGGGCGUAAAGAGCUCGUAGGCGGUCUGUCGCGUCUGCUGUGAAAACUCGGGGGCUUAACCCCGGGCCUGCAGUGGGUACGGGCAGACUAGAGUGCGGUAGGGGAGACUGGAAUUCCUGGUGUAGCGGUGAAAAUGCGCAGAUAUCAGGAGGAACACCGGUGGCGAAGGCGGGUCUCUGGGCCGUAACUGACGCUGAGGAGC
rnacentral:rRNA from 1 species